CUAGCCUUCCUAUCCCUACCUUUCUUCUCUCUUUGUCUUCCUUAAUUCUCUUCCUAGACUCUUGUCCUAAAAUCAAACUUGUCCUUUCUAUUUUUGGACUUGUUCUAACAAGAGAAGGAAGAGACUAAUUGGACAAUAGGGAGAGGAUGUUAGAAAGAAAGGAGGAAUUGGAAAUCUGAAUGAAUCCAAUCCCCCGGCGCACCCUCCUUUAAAUACUUUGCGAUGGGUUGCCUUCGGAAAUUUUUCGUGCCCCU
rnacentral:lncRNA from 1 species